GCCGGCAGCUGGCCCUCUGCAACUCUCACAUGGUCGCCCACUGAAGCUAAGCAGGGCUGUGCCCGGUCAGUACCUGGAUGGGAGACCACAUGGGAAAGCUAGGUUGCUGCCGGAA
rnacentral:rRNA from 1 species